UAGGGAAUCUUCCACAAUGGACGCAAGUCUGAUGGAGCAACGCCGCGUGAGUGAAGAAGGUCUUCGGAUCGUAAAGCUCUGUUGUUGGUGAAGAAGGAUAGAGGCAGUAACUGGUCUUUAUUUGACGGUAAUCAACCAGAAAGUCACGGCUAACUACGUGCCAGCAGCCGCGGUAAUACGUAGGUGGCAAGCGUUGUCCGGAUUUAUUGGGCGUAAAGCGAGCGCAGGCGGAAUGAUAAGUCUGAUGUGAAAGCCCACGGCUCAACCGUGGAACUGCAUCGGAAACUGUCAUUCUUGAGUGCAGAAGAGGAGAGUGGAACUCCAUGUGUAGCGGUGGAAUGCGUAGAUAUAUGGAAGAACACCAGUGGCGAAGGCGGCUCUCUGGUCUGCAACUGACGCUGAGGCUCGAAAGCAUGGGUAGCGAACAGGAUUAGAUACCCUGGUAGUCCAUGCCGUAAACGAUGAGCGCUAGGUGUUNGGGCACU
rnacentral:rRNA from 1 species